rnacentral:rRNA from 1 species
UGGGGAAUUUUGGACAAUGGGCGCAAGCCUGAUCCAGCAAUGCCGCGUGAGUGAAGAAGGCCUUCGGGUUGUAAAGCUCUUUUGUCAGGGAAGAAACGGGGUUGGCUAAUAUCUGAUCCUAAUGACGGUACCUGAAGAAUAAGCACCGGCUAACUACGUGCCAGCAGCCGCGGUAAUACGUAGGGUGCAAGCGUUAAUCGGAAUUACUGGGCGUAAAGCGUGCGCAGGCGGUUUUGUAAGUUUGUCGUGAAAUCCCCGGGCUUAACCUGGGAAUUGCGAUGAAGACUGCAAGGCUAGAAUCUGGCAGAGGGGGGUAGAAUUCCACGUGUAGCAGUGAAAUGCGUAGAGAUGUGGAGGAACACCGAUGGCGAAGGCAGCCCCCUGGGUCAAGAUUGACGCUCAUGCACGAAAGCGUGGGGAGCAAACAGG